GGGGAAUUUUCCGCAAUGGGCGAAAGCCUGACGGAGCGACGCCGCGUGGUUGAUGAAGUCUUUCGGGAUGUAAAAACCUUUUAUNAUNNAGAAAGUNUAUUNAUNUGAUCAUGAAUAAGGNGCUGCUAAUUCCGUGCCAGCAGCCGCGGUAAUACNGGAGUGGCAAGCGUUAUCCGGAAUUAUUGGGCGUAAAGCGUCCGCAGGCGGCCUUGUAAGUCUGUUGUUAAAGCGUGGAGCUCAACUCCAUUUGAGCAAUGGAAACUACAAGGCUUGAGUGUGGUAGGGGCAGAGGGAAUUCCCGGUGUAGCGGUGAAAUGCGUAGAUAUCGGGAAGAACACCAGUGGCGANGGCGCUCUGCUGGGCCAUAACUGACGCUCAUGGACGAAAGCCAGGGGAGCGAAAGGGAUUAGAUAC
rnacentral:rRNA from 1 species